UCUUAAAGCAUUUCUCGGAUAAUUGGCGCUUGGCCGUAUACUCCUCCAAACUAAAAACACAAGAAAAUAACCAUUCACAAAUCUUAAAAGGAAUAAGAAGUUAAAAUGUUUUAUGCGUGCUCAAAAUAAAACUACGCGGGUGGAAUAGGAUUUUGUCCAUCCUAUGGUAUCGCCAAAAAUUAUUUCGAAAAAUGUCAAGAAAGGAUUUAGCAGGCUUUCUUAAAGCGAAAUCCAGACCGAAAGAUUUAAGAAAUAACCCGAACCGUGGUGAUCGAUAUCAAAGGACAGGUUGAGAUUUUUUUUUCUUGAAUAUAUACUUCGAAAAGUCCAUAAGGGGAAUCAAGAUAUUAAUGAAACGAUUUUAAAUGUCACAAACAA